rnacentral:rRNA from 1 species
CAGUAGCCGCGGUAAUACGGAGGGGGCUAGCGUUGUUCGGAAUUACUGGGCGUAAAGCGCACGUGGGCGGCUUGGUAAGUUAGAGGUGAAAGCCUGGAGCUCAACUCCAGAAUUGCCUUUAAGACUGCCGAGCUAGCAGGUGAGAGAGGUAAGUGGAAUUCCGAGUGUAGAGGUGAAAUUCGUAGAUAUUCGGAAGAACACCAGUGGCGAAGGCGGCUUACUGGCUCAUACUGGACGCUGAGGUGCGAAAGCGUGGGGAGCAAACGGGAUUAGAUACCCCUGUAGUCCCUGUCUCUUAUAC